UUUAGGUUGACUGUUUAAUCUCUGCAGGCAACUGUGAUGGUGAUUUUUAUUCUCACAAUCACCUGGAGAGAUUCUGCAGUUUAUUUAA
rnacentral:pre_miRNA from 1 species